UNUGUGAGGNUANGGCCCACUANGGCGACGACGGGUUAGUUUNUUCUGAGNAGGAACUACCAGUCACACUGGNAACUGAGUAUANGUGCCAGACUCCUACGGGAGGCAGCAGUGGGGAAUAUUGCACAAUGGGCGAAAGCCUGAUGCAGCGACGCCGCGUGAGGGAUGAAGGCCUUCGGGUCGUAAACCUCUUUCGGCAGGGACGAAGCGAUCAGUGACGGUACCUGCAGAANAAGCCCCGGCGAACUACGUGCCAGCAGCCGCGGUAAGACGUANGGGGCGAGCGUUGUCCGGAUUCAUUGGGCGUAAAGCGCGCGUAGGCGGCUGCGCAAGUCGGUUGUGAAAUUCCGGGGCUCAACCCCGGAACUGCGUCCGAUACUGCGUGGCUAGAGGUAGGUAGGGGAGAUCGGAAUUCCUGGUGUAGCGGUGAAAUGUGCAGAUAUCAGGAGGAACACCGNUGGCGAAGGCGGAUCUCUGGGCCUUACCUGACGCUCANGCGCGAAAGCUAGGGGAGCGAACAGGAUUAGAUACCCUGGUANUCCUANCCGUAAACGUUGGGUGCUAGGUGUGGGCGGAUAUCGACCNCGUCCCGUGCCUAUGCUAACGCAUUAAGCACCNCGCCUGGGGAGUACUGGCCGUAAGGNUAAAACUUANAGGAAUUGACGGUUUNCCCGCNCANNGCGNCGNANCAUGUGGCUUAAUUCGAAGCANCGCNAANAACCUUACCUGGGCUUGACNUGCGGUNUUGAAACNNGUAUACAUACNGCGCUCCUUNNAGUCCNGCNACANGUGGUGCAUGGC
rnacentral:rRNA from 1 species